CCUACGGGUGGCAGCAGUGAGGAAUAUUGGUCAAUGGGCGCGAGCCUGAACCAGCCAAGUAGCGUGAAGGAUGACUGCCCUACGGGUUGUAAACUUCUUUUAUAAAGGAAUAAAGUGAGGCACGUGUGCCUUUUUGUAUGUACUUUAUGAAUAAGGAUCGGCUAACUCCGUGCCAGCAGCCGCGGUAAUACGGAGGAUCCGAGCGUUAUCCGGAUUUGUUGGGUUUAAAGGGAGCGUAGAUGGGUUGUUAAGUCAGUUGUGAAAGUUUGCGGCUCAACCGUAAAAUUGCAAUUGAUACUGGCAGCCUUGAGUACAGUUGAGGUAGGCGGAAUUCGUGGUGUAGCGGUGAAAUGCUUAGAUAUCACGAAGAACUCCGAUUGCGAAGGCAGCUUACUAAACUAUAACUGACACUGAAGCACGAAAGCGUGGGGAUCAAACAGGAUUAGAUACCCCAGUAGUC
rnacentral:rRNA from 1 species